rnacentral:rRNA from 1 species
AUGCCGGCGCCGCCUCCUCCCCAAGUCGCCGCGCCACCCGACGCCUCGACGCCGGUGAUCUCCUCCGGCAUACUGGAUUUCUCACCGGUGGUUAGUCAUCACAGCUCCUCCCCUCCCCGCCCCUCCCCCCCUCCUCUCCAUGGCUGCCACCUCCUGCACGCCCUCUGUCCGCCUCGUCCUCACCGGCGAGCACACCAAGAAUGGCGUCUCCUACCCCCAGCUCCACAUCCAGCAGCUUGGGUUCUUGUUGGGGUGGACGAGUUGCCUCCAUCUUGGGAUCCAAUUGUCACGCCUAAGUUCGAUGUUGCCCCAAGUGAUGGUUCAAGAGAUGCUGCCCCAAGUGAUGGUCCAAGAGAUGCUGCCCCAAGUGAUGGUCCAAGAGAUGCUGCCCAAACAGGUGCUCCCGGUGGUUCAAAUAAGAAGCCAGUGAAGGAGCCCAAGAAGAAGAAGCGUCAUGACCCAAUGGUGGAGGUGAUGGCAUAA